UGCACAGCAUAUUAGCUCUUUUUAUGAGCUGGAGGCUUAUCCAUAAAUGGUUCUUAACGUACAAAUCACUUGUACCUUUCAUCACAACAUUGUCAUAAAAAAAAUUACUAACUCUGAUGGCAGAUUUACAGAAUCUGUUGUGCUGGAAUGGUUGCAAAUAGGGCAGUAGAAACACAACCUAAUCCCUUCCUGAUAAAAGGAGACCACAGGAGAAGAUUUAUAUUUACAGCUGUCUGAGCUGGGAAGGGAAGAGAGAUGCUGAAUGGGAAAGAGAAGAAAAGGAAGAAAAAAAGCGUGAAAGAGAUAUUAGGAAUGGUGAACAAGAGGAUGAUGGGGAAGAAGAAAAGAAGUCAAGAACACAAAAAGCAGGAGGUGGUCAGGAAAGGAACAGAGGCCCCAACCAACCCAUUGUGCUGGCGCUGAACAGACACAUAGAAAGAGACCAUCCCUGCCCUGAAGAGUUUAAAAUCUAAACAGACAAGACAAAAGGAGAAAGAAAAGAAUCCCCACUUAUUAGAAGCUGGAGAACAGAGAUAUCAAGUCAGUGGUAACCGUGGCUUCUCAGCAGCUCUGAAAAUCAGCUCCAGUGGCUGCUGGGAA